rnacentral:rRNA from 1 species
UACGUAGGGUGCAAGCGUUAAUCGGAAUUACUGGGCGUAAAGCGCACGUAGGCGGCUUUGUAAGUUAGAGGUGAAAGCCUGGGGCUCAACUCCAGAACUGCCUUUAAGACUGCAUCGCUUGAAUCAUGGAGAGGCGGGUGGAAUUCCGAGUGUAGAGGUGAAAUUCGUAGAUAUUCGGAAGAACACCAGUGGCGAAGGCGGCCCGCUGGACAUGUAUUGACGCUGAGGUGCGAAAGCGUGGGGAGCAAACAGG